GACGAACGCUGGCGGCGUGCUUAACACAUGCAAGUCGAACGGAAAGGCCCUGCUUUUGUGGGGUGCUCGAGUGGCGAACGGGUGAGUAACACGUGAGUAACCUGCCCUUGACUUUGGGAUAACUUCAGGAAACUGGGGCUAAUACCGGAUAGGAGCUCCUGCUGCAUGGUGGGGGUUGGAAAGUUUCGGCGGUUGGGGAUGGACUCGCGGCUUAUCAGCUUGUUGGUGGGGUAGUGGCUUACCAAGGCUUUGACGGGUAGCCGGCCUGAGAGGGUGACCGGCCACAUUGGGACUGAGAUACGGCCCAGACUCCUACGGGAGGCAGCAGUGGGGAAUAUUGCACAAUGGGCGGAAGCCUGAUGCAGCAACGCCGCGUGCGGGAUGACGGCCUUCGGGUUGUAAACCGCUUUCGCCUGUGACGAAGCGUGAGUGACGGUAAUGGGUAAAGAAGCACCGGCUAACUACGUGCCAGCAGCCGCGGUGAUACGUAGGGUGCGAGCGUUGUCCGGAUUUAUUGGGCGUAAGGGCUCGUAGGUGGUUGAUCGCGUCGGAAGUGUAAUCUUGGGGCUUAACCCUGAGCGUGCUUUCGAUACGGGUUGACUUGAGGAAGGUAGGGGAGAAUGGAAUUCCUGGUGGAGCGGUGGAAUGCGCAGAUAUCAGGAGGAACACCAGUGGCGAAGGCGGUUCUCUGGGCCUUUCCUGACGCUGAGGAGCGAAAGCGUGGGGAGCGAACAGGCUUAGAUACCCUGGUAGUCCACGCUGUAAACGGUGGGUACUAGGUGUGGGGUCCAUUCCACGGGUUCCGUGCCGUAGCUAACGCUUUAAGUACCCCGCCUGGGGAGUACGGCCGCAAGGCUAAAACCCAAAGGAAUUGACGGGGCCCCGCACAAGCGGCGGAGCAUGCGGAUUAAUUCGAUGCAACGCGUAGAACCUUACCUGGGUUUGACAUGGAUCGGGAGCGCUCAGAGAUGGGUGUGCCUCUUUUGGGGUCGGUUCACAGGUGGUGCAUGGCUGUCGUCAGCUCGUGUCGUGAGAUGUUGGGUUAAGUCCCGCAACGAGCGCAACCCUUGUUCACUGUUGCCAGCACGUUAUGGUGGGGACUCAGUGGAGACCGCCGGGGUCAACUCGGAGGAAGGUGGGGAUGACGUCAAGUCAUCAUGCCCCUUAUGUCCAGGGCUUCACGCAUGCUACAAUGGCUGGUACAGAGAGUGGCGAGCCUGUGAGGGUGAGCGAAUCUCGGAAAGCCGGUCUCAGUUCGGAUUGGGGUCUGCAACUCGACCUCAUGAAGUCGGAGUCGCUAGUAAUCGCAGAUCAGCAACGCUGCGGUGAAUACGUUCCCGGGGCU
rnacentral:rRNA from 1 species